rnacentral:tRNA from 1 species
UCCUUUGUGGCGCAAUUGGCUAGCGCGUCUGACUGUUAAUCAGGAGGUUGGAAGUUCGAGCCUUCCCGAAGGAG